rnacentral:misc_RNA from 1 species
GACGACUUGGGCGCCGUCGGCAUCUACGGCAUUGCGAGGGUCGGCAAAAUCGCGUCCCUCAAGGUCGCAGCCGAGGGAGGCAAUGCGUUCGAGUCCGGCCUGAUCGUCAAGACCAACAGGGGCAUACUGUACGUCGACGAGGUCAACCUGCUGGACGACCACCUCGUCGAUGUGCUGCUGGAUUCCGCUGCGCCGGCAUGGAACACAGUGGAGAGGAAGGGUAUCUUCAUAUCCCACACUGUUCGCUUUAUCCUCAUUCCAUUGUAGAUUUUUCCCGUCUGUGGUAUGAUACGUCCAAUGCCCUGGCCGAGUUUCACAUCAAGCGUUAAUUACCGUAUGAAUUUGGAUGCUCGUUUUGUUUGGAAACCACCAUGGUCACUUCAAUGGUUCACUAGAGCUUCUAUCACUUUGCAUGAGUUACUUAUAUGGUUGCGUAUUUCAACAAUUAGUGUUAACAAUUUAUUGGCACAAACUGGAUUGGCAGCAACGAGAGCUUUGGUGUGUGUCCGUGCAUGUCGAGGGCAGCUCCUAUUUUACUACAACCACAUAUAUUGGGUCACAGUAAUUGUGUAUGACGGUUGGAUGAUCACAUGGCCAUCUUUCACAUGGAGGUUGCAUGAUGCAUUGUAUGAAAUUUCAGAUGGAGAUAGGAUCAGUGGUACGGCUCUAAACUUCUGCUCAGAUAACUUGUCAUAUGAUGUUGGUGCCGUCUCUGAACAAACACAACGUGGUUUCUUGUCAGUAAGGUUUGAUGUGUUACAGGAUAAAUACAGAAUGGUUGAUUGUCCAUUUAUGUUCACCAGGUCUAAUGUUCAGAGCGUUGUGCAGGAUAAAGGUUUGUUGUCUUUUUUCUGGGAUAGCCU